rnacentral:rRNA from 1 species
AGGCCCUUUCGGGGGUACACGAGUGGCGAACGGGUGAGUAACACGUGGGUGACCUGCCCUGUACUUCGGGAUAAGCCUGGGAAACUGGGUCUAAUACCGGAUAUGACCUUCUCCUGCAUGGGGGUUGGUGGAAAGUUUUUGCGGUACAGGAUGGGCCCGCGGCCUAUCAGCUUGUUGGUGGGGUAAUGGCCUACCAAGGCGACGACGGGUAGCCGGCCUGAGAGGGCGACCGGCCACACUGGGACUGAGACACGGCCCAGACUCCUACGGGAGGCAGCAGUGGGGAAUAUUGCACAAUGGGCGAAAGCCUGAUGCAGCGACGCCGCGUGAGGGAUGACGGCCUUCGGGUUGUAAACCUCUUUCAGUAGGGACGAAGCGCAAGUGACGGUACCUACAGAAGAAGCACCGGCCAACUACGUGCCAGCAGCCGCGGUAAUACGUAGGGUGCGAGCGUUGUCCGGAUUUACUGGGCGUAAAGAGCUCGUAGGCGGUUUGUCACGUCGUCUGUGAAAACCCGAGGCUUAACCUCGGGCCUGCAGGCGAUACGGGCAGACUUGAGUACUGUAGGGGAGACUGGAAUUCCUGGUGUAGCGGUGGAAUGCGCAGAUAUCAGGAGGAACACCGGUGGCGAAAGCGGGUCUCUGGGCAGUAACUGACGCUGAGGAGCGAAAGCGUGGGUAGCGAACAGGAUUAGAUACCCUGGUAGUCCACGCCG